AAGUGGAGCAAUCCACGAGUAAAGUGGCGACCGGGUGAGUAACACGUGACUAACCUACCUUCGAGUGGGGGAUAACCUCGGGAAACCGAGGCUAAUACCGCAUAACAUCGCAAGAUCAAAGCAGCAGUGCGCUGGAAGAGGGGGUCGCGGCUGAUUAGCUAGUUGGCGGGGUAACGGCCCACCAAGGCGAAGAUCGGUAUCCGGCCUGAGAGGGCGCACGGACACACUGGAACUGAAACACGGUCCAGACUCCUACGGGAGGCAGCAGUGGGGAAUUUUGCGCAAUGGGGGAAACCCUGACGCAGCAACGCCGCGUGGAGGAUGAAGCCCCUUGGG
rnacentral:rRNA from 1 species